UACGGAGGGUGCAAGCGUUAUCCGGAUUCACUGGGUUUAAAGGGUGCGUAGGCGGACAGGUAAGUCCGUGGUGAAAUCCUGCAGCUUAACUGCAGAACUGCCAUGGAUACUAUCUAUCUUGAAUGUCGUGGAGGUUAGCGGAAUAUGUCAUGUAGCGGUGAAAUGCUUAGAGAUGACAUAGAACACCCAUUGCGAAGGCAGCUAACUACGCGAUAAUUGACGCUGAUGCACGAAAGCGUGGGGAUCAAACAGG
rnacentral:rRNA from 1 species